rnacentral:rRNA from 1 species
GACGAACGCUGGCGGCGUGCUUAACACAUGCAAGUCGAACGGAAAGGCCCUGCUUUUGUGGGGUGCUCGAGUGGCGAACGGGUGAGUAACACGUGAGUAACCUGCCCUUGACUUUGGGAUAACUUCAGGAAACUGGGGCUAAUACCGGAUAGGAACUCCUGCUGCAUGGUGGGGGUUGGAAAGUUUCGGCGGUUGGGGAUGGACUCGCGGCUUAUCAGCUUGUUGGUGGGGUAGUGGCUUACCAAGGCUUUGACGGGUAGCCGGCCUGAGAGGGUGACCGGCCACAUUGGGACUGAGAUACGGCCCAGACUCCUACGGGAGGCAGCAGCGGGGAAUAUUGCACAAUGGGCGGAAGCCUGAUGCAGCAACGCCGCGUGCGGGAUGACGGCCUUCGGGUUGUAAACCGCUUUCGCCUGUGACGAAGCGUGAGUGACGGUAAUGGGUAAAGAAGCACCGGCUAACUACGUG